UUCGAAAGCUGGAAACAUCUGUACUUCGGUAGCAGCGGGACCCACUACGGGUUUCCGUGUCAACAAAAGCGGCGAUCGGCGGCGAUGCGGGGAUCGGACGACGACAACGACGACGACGACAAGGCCGAGUGUUGCCACCGCUUUCGCGGGAAGAAGCGGAGCAAGGCAGCGGCGGCGGAGAUGGGGAGCCAGGAGGAGGUUGCGAUCGAGCACCAGGCGUACGCGAGGAUAGGGCUCCUCGGGAACCCUAGUGACGUCUACUUCGGCCGCACCAUCUCCUUCUCGCUCGGGAAUUUCUGGGCCUCCGUCCGGCUGGAGCCCUCCGACGAUCUCAUCAUCCGCCCCCACCCCACCCACGAUCUUAUCUCCUUCACCUCCAUCCACCAUUUGGUCAGUCGUUUGCAAAGUGAAGGAUAUUAUGGAGGCGUUCGUUUGCUUAUGGCAAUUUGUAAAUUAUUCUACAAGUACUGCACUGAUAAUAAGAUCGAGUUAAAAGAAGGAAAUUUCACUCUAUCUUAUGACACCAAUAUUCCUCACCAGACAGGGCUUUCCGGUUCAAGUGCCAUUGUUUGUGCUGCCUUAAACUGCCUCCUUGACUUCUAUCGAAUUAGACACCUAGUAAAAGUCGAAAUCAGACCAGAGAUGAUUCUUAGUGCAGAAACGGAGCUUGGAAUUGUUGCUGGACUUCAAGAUCGAGUUGCACAGGUCUAUGGAGGCCUUGUCUACAUGGAUUUUAGCAAGGAAUAUAUGGAUAAAUUGGGUUAUGGCAUGUAUACAAUGAUGGAUAUUGGUCUUCUUCCCCCGCUCUAUCUCAUAUAUGCUGAAAAUCCAAGUGAUUCUGGAAAGUCGUUGCUCUCUUGUAUGCAGGUGCACAGCACUGUUCGGCAAAGGUGGCUAGAGGGUGAUGAGUUUAUAAUAUCAUCAAUGGAAGAAGUUGCAGAGCUAGCCUUAGAGGGUCGCAAGGCUCUAUUGGAAAAGGAUUAUGCCGAACUUGCAGACCUAAUGAACCGAAACUUUGAGCUUCGCAGAUUGCUAUGAGAUGUCAUCCAUGACUAUAUGACCUUAGGAGAAGAAUCCAUAUAAAUUUAUGGAGAGAAAUGGGGGAAGGGAUCUCAAUCCUGGAAAAUGUUUGGAGAUGAUGUGCUAGGUUCUCUAAACAUCCAGAUGGUUGAGGUUGCCAGGAGUGUCGGUGCCGCAUCUAAGUUUACUGGCAGUGGAGGUGCUGUGGUUGCAUUCUGCCCUGAUGGACCUGAUCAAGCUAAGCUUCUUGAGGAGGCUUGUGAAAAAGCUGGUUUUAUUGUACAACAGGCCAUCAUUGUUCCUCCUGUUCUUAAUGAUGAAGAGCUGAAAACUGUGUCUAUCUAAUAAAAUGUCCCGAUCCAGUUGGUAUUUUCUCUCCAUUAUUGACUGACAGAACCACCAUGAAAUAUUGAGUCAUUUAUCAAUUAUCUUUACAUGAUCAGUUUCAAUUUUGUAGCUUGAAA